rnacentral:lncRNA from 1 species
UGUUCUCCAACAAAUGCUCUUUCCACACUCUCGGGAAGGUUCCAGUAAUGCUAUUAAAAAAAAAAAAAAAAAAAAAAAAAAGGAAAAAAAAGAAGGAGAUCUAUCAAAUUCUGUAAUCCUUCUCUGUUUACAUAAGCCCAGACAGAGCAUCUCAUGCAGCAGAGCCCUGUAUUCAGGCAGGAGCUGUGUUACCUAACUAGGUGUACCAGGACUUAUUACAAAGUCUACCCUUGUGUACGAAAAUCAGUUCAGCUCUAUAUUCCAGCUGAUAAACGGACCGUCUGUAUCUUUAGGUGAUUCAUCUGUGUGACGAAUGCUAAAGUAUCCAGAUUCAGUUUUCUCUAAAUAUAUAUUUUAUAAAACCAUUCUCUCUGUGACACGAGGGUUUCGUUCUUCUUGGCCUUUCCUUGGUAUUAUGCUAUACAUCCCUUUGGCUUGCCAGUUGCAGCGCUGACCGGGGGGAAGAACCCAACAAAUUGGCUUUGCUACAGGGUUUGCCAGUGGGAGUCCAGGGAGAAAACCGAGCUGAAACUGGCACACACGCUGCAUUUACUUUGAGCUUGUAUUUCAGCCGCCUAGCAAACCCAAUGGGAAACUUAAUUUCUAAACAUGAACAUUAUUGAAUUUCAGCAGCUAUAUUUAGGUCAGUCUCUUCAUGCCAAAAUUAUUAGGCUUUACUAGGAAAGAAAUACAUUACCAGCUAGAAACAUGUUAGCACUACUUGUGUUAAAUGGAGUAACUGUAUUUUAAUGCACUUUUACCCCAAUCUGAAGAUCCAGUGUCUGCUUCUGACAUCAUGAAAAACCUGAGAAGCUUGUAUCUGGAUGUUUUACAAGUAUUUUCUUUAUCGGGCAAUCACUCAAUCUGGCUCAGACAGAUAUUUCUGUUGGGGAAAUGCUCUUUACCAUUUUUUUUUUCCUAUGCCUGUGCUGCUCCUUUCUUUGUGCUAGUGCAGGUGUUACAGUGAAGGAGAGUUUGCUGAAGAAAAUGAUCUGGGAAAAAUACCAUGCAGAAAAAGGUGAAGGGAAUCCAGAGAAUUUAAACAUUUGGAGGCAGAAGAAAAAAUAUGCAAUGCAGUCAGCACCUCAGAUUGCAACAGCCAGUGCACUUGGUUGGCAUUGUGAAAUACAAAAUAACAAAGCCUAAAGCUCCGUGGAAGACACCCUGCAACACCAGCCAUUUUCUGCCUAUCGCUGUGUCAUCUGAGCCAUCCUUAGUUCGUUUGCUCCUUGAUGUUAUUUUUUUCAGUGCCUGUGAAACUAGGAAUGGCACGCAGCAUGCUUGGAAUUUGGCCAGGUUCCUGUUGAGAUAGUAGAAUGGAAAGAAAAUAAAAAAGUACACUGACCCA